rnacentral:rRNA from 1 species
AGAGUUUGAUCCUGGCUCAGAGCGAACGCUGGCGGCAGGCUUAACACAUGCAAGUCGAGCGGGCGUAGCAAUACGUCAGCGGCAGACGGGUGAGUAACGCGUGGGAACGUACCUUUUGGUUCGGAACAACACAGGGAAACUUGUGCUAAUACCGGAUAAGCCCUUACGGGGAAAGAUUUAUCGCCGAAAGAUCGGCCCGCGUCUGAUUAGCUAGUUGGUAGGGUAAUGGCCUACCAAGGCGACGAUCAGUAGCUGGUCUGAGAGGAUGAUCAGCCACAUUGGGACUGAGACACGGCCCAAACUCCUACGGGAGGCAGCAGUGGGGAAUAUUGGACAAUGGGGGCAACCCUGAUCCAGCCAUGCCGCGUGAGUGAUGAAGGCCCUAGGGUUGUAAAACUCUUUUGUGCGGGAAGAUAAUGACGGUACCGCAAGAA